rnacentral:rRNA from 1 species
GCAGCGACGCCGCGUGAGGGAUGACGGCCUUCGGGUUGUAAACCUCUUUCAGUAGGGAAGAAGCGUAAGUGACGGUACCUGCAGAAGAAGCGCCGGCUAACUACGUGCCAGCAGCCGCGGUAAUACGUAGGGCGCAAGCGUUAUCCGGAAUUAUUGGGCGUAAAGAGCUCGUAGGCGGUUUGUCGCGUCUGCUGUGAAAGACCGGGGCUCAACUCCGGUUCUGCAGUGGGUACGGGCAGACUAGAGUGCAGUAGGGGAGACUGGAAUUCCUGGUGUAGCGGUGAAAUGCGCAGAUAUCAGGAGGAACACCGAUGGCGAAGGCAGGUCUCUGGGCUGUAACUGACGCUGAGGAGCGAAAGCAUGGGGAGCGAACAGGAUUAGAUACCCUGGUAGUCCAUGCCGUAAACGUUGGGCACUAGGUGUGGGGGACAUUCCACGUUUUCCGCGCCGUAGCUAACGCAUUAAGUGCCCCGCCUGGGGAGUACGGCCGCAAGGCUAAAACUCAAAGGAAUUGACGGGGGCCCGCACAAGCGGCGGAGCAUGCGGAUUAAUUCGAUGCAACGCGAAGAACCUUACCAAGGCUUGACAUGAACCGGAAAGACCUGGAAACAGGUGCCCCGCUUGCGGUCGGUUUACAGGUGGUGCAUGGUUGUCGUCAGCUCGUGUCGUGAGAUGUUGGGUUAAGUCCCGCAACGAGCGCAACCCUCGUUCUAUGUUGCCAGCGGUUCGGCCGGGGACUCAUAGGAGACUGCCGGGGUCAACUCGGAGGAAGGUGGGGACGACGUCAAAUCAUCAUGCCCCUUAUGUCUUGGGCUUCACGCAUGCUACAAUGGCCGG